GCCCGCCUAGCUCAAUCGGAUAGAGCGUCAGACUUUUAAGGCAAAAUAAGGCACUUUAACUAUCUGAAGGCUGCGAGUUCGACCCUCGCGGUGGGCU